rnacentral:tRNA from 1 species
UGGCGCAGUGGUUAAGCAUUUGGCCGCUAACCAAAAAGUCGGUGGUUCAAACCCACC